UGGUUGUUCGUCCUGCGUGUUCCCUGUUGUCACCUGAGUUCCCUGGUUCCUUGCCUUAGCCUUUAGGCAUAAAUAAAGUGCUGUUCUCCCUAAACCGUCUGCGUCUGGGUCCUACCUGCCUGCCUGCUCCGACAAUCCUAACAAUGCCUCCACAACUACAAGGGCUAUAUGAAUAAAGUUGGUUUCAAAAAGAAGCAAAUCGAAAAAAUGCAGAGGCCCGGCAGACUGGAGGGGGUCCACCACCUGCAGCCCUCGCAGAGGCUGAGGAGAUGGCCCUCAGCCAACAGAGUAUGCGUCCUGUGGCUGAGGGCAUCCCUGGGGGGAGCUCCUCUGAUCCCCCAACCCCCCAGGAUAGAAGUGCCUUUACAGUAUAAGAG
ensembl:lncRNA